rnacentral:rRNA from 1 species
UACGAAGGGGGCUAGCGUUGCUCGGAAUCACUGGGCGUAAAGCGCACGUAGGCGGAUUGUUAAGUCAGGGGUGAAAUCCUGGAGCUCAACUCCAGAACUGCCUUUGAUACUGGCGAUCUCGAGUCCGGGAGAGGUGAGUGGAACUGCGAGUGUAGAGGUGAAAUUCGUAGAUAUUCGCAAGAACACCAGUGGCGAAGGCGGACUCACUGGCCCGGUACUGACGCUGAGGUGCGGAAAGCGUGGGGAGCAAACAGGGAUUA